rnacentral:rRNA from 1 species
UACGGGGGGGAGCAAGCGUUGUUCGGAUUUACUGGGCGUAAAGGGCGCGUAGGCGGCGUGACAAGUCACUUGUGAAAUCUCCGGGCUUAACUCGGAACGGUCAAGUGAUACUGUCGUGCUAGAGUACAGAAGGGGCAACUGGAAUUCUCGGUGUAGCGGUGAAAUGCGUAGAUAUCGAGAGGAACACCUGCGGCGAAGGCGGGUUGCUGGGCUGAUACUGACGCUGAGGCGCGAAAGCUAGGGGGAGCGAACGGGG